CCCGCCAAUAAACAUAUCCAAAACCAGAGCCUUUAUACUUUCAGUGUCAAGCGAAUCAGUGUUUUCCUUUUGAAUCUCAAGCAGAAUAUCCACAAAAUCCUUAUUUGAAUCUUCUUUUGUAUCUCGAUUCAUCAUAUGAUCUUCAAUGUAUAACUUUAUCAAGCUCUUUAGCAGUUCUAUUAGCUUUCGCAUCAAAACCAUUUACCCAAUUCACCCACGCAAGCCAAGGAAUGAAUUCCCCAACGC
rnacentral:misc_RNA from 1 species